AGCCCCCUGGUGUAAUUGGCAACACGCCUGACUCUGACUCAGGAAAGUCCAGGUUCGAUCCCUGGGGGGGCUACCU
rnacentral:tRNA from 1 species